AUUGAACGCUGGCGGCAGGCCUAACACAUGCAAGUCGAGCGAGCGGCGGACGGGUGAGUAAUGUAUGGGAACCUGCCCGAUAGAGGGGGAUAACUACUGGAAACGGUAGCUAAUACCGCAUACCAUCGGAUGUACCCAUAUGGGAUUAGCUAGUAGGUGGGGUAACGGCUCACCUAGGCGACGAUCCCUAGCUGGUCUGAGAGGAUGAUCAGCCACACUGGAACUGAGACACGGCCCAGACUCCUACGGGAGGCAGCAGUGGGGAAUAUUGCACAAUGGGCGCAAGCCUGAUGCAGCCAUGCCGCGUGUAUGAAGAAGGCCUUCGGGUUGUAAAGCACUUUCAGUCGGGAGGCGUUACCGACAGAAGAAGCACCGGCUAACUCCGUGCCAGCAGCCGCGGUAAUAC
rnacentral:rRNA from 1 species